rnacentral:rRNA from 1 species
CGUAACGAUGGGGGCGCUGUCUCUACCCGAGACUCAGUGAAAUUGAAAUCGCCGUGAAGAUGCGGUGUAUCCGCGGCUAGACGGAAAGACCCCGUGAACCUUUACUACAGCUUCGCGCUGGACUCUGAAUUAAUCUGUGUAGGAUAGCUGGGAGGCUAUGAACUCGGGACGCCAGUCUCGAGGGAGCCAACCUUGAAAUACCAGCCUGGUUAAUUUGGGGUUCUAACCUCGCACCGUUAUCCGGUGCAGGGACAGCGCGUGGUGGGUAGUUUGACUGGGGCGGUCUCCUCCCAAAGAGUAACGGAGGAGCGCGAAGGUACCCUCGGAACGGUCGGAAAUCGUUCCAUGAGCGCAAGGGUAGAAGGGUGCUUGACUGUGAGACUGACAAGUCGAACAGGUACGAAAGUAGGUCCUAGUGAUCCGGUGGUUCUGUAUGGAAGGGCCAUCGC